GACCCUAUAUUUUAACAGAUCAUCCCUACGGUCUUGAUCACCUAAGCUGCUUCUACCUGCCUACUAGUUCACCAUAGUAUUUUCUAGCAUUUUUAUGGGAAUCUUUUGCAUAACAGAUCCUGUAUGAAAAUAUGUUGUUUUGCUCUAUUCCUUUAAGUCCCCUGACUACUACUCAGUGAAGAAUAGGAGGAAAAGGAUGAAGGAUUGAAUGAAUGCUUAACCAUGAACCGGGCACUGUGCUAGUCACUUUAGAUAUAUAUUUUUUCCCAGUUUGUCCUUUCCAUAAUUCUAUAGGAUAUUUUUCUUAUCCCCUUUUACUAGAGGAAACUAAGGCUUAUAUAAAGUGCAAAUAAUCUAAGUAAAAAUCAUGAAUUUGUAAAUAGAACCAGAGCUCAGAGCAAAGUCUGUGUAGCUGAAAAAUCUUUGCUCUAUUCACUACAGGCUAUAUACUUGGUGCAUUUACAUUUUUCCUCCUAAAGCUAUGCUAAUUAGGAUGUACUAUUUUGCUUGUCAAAGGAUUUUCAGUUUUACAUAUUUAGAAUUUGUUCCAGUGUUCUUUAGAAUGGUAAACCUCGGGGAGUUCCUGUUGUGGCACAGUGGAAACGAAUCCAACUAGGAACCACAAGGUGAAGACAGCAGGGAUAUACAAUCCAUUAUGAGAACCUUAGGAACUCUUUUACUGAUGAACAGUUUCGGUCCCCAAACUCCACUGUUCACUGGUCCCCGUAUUCAUAAGUCCAGGUUCUGCUGUGACACACUGCGACAUCAAGGGGCCAGCCGACACAGAAAUUACUUUGUACGAUCUUCAGUGCCAUCUGCUGGAAGCAGACAAAGUUGAUCUACUGUUACUCCAUAAGGCAGAUUCAUUUUAUUUUCAAUUUUUAUUUAUUUUCCUUUUUAUGGGUCACACCCUAGGCAUAUGGAAGUUCCAAGGUCACGGGUCUAAUUGGAGCUGUAGCCUCUGGCCUACAUCACGGCCACAGCUACGCGGGAUCUGAGCCUCGUCUGCGACCUACACCACGGCUCAUGGCAACACCGGAUCCCUGACCCACUGAGUGAGGCCAGGGAUCAAACCUGCACCCUCAUGGAUACUAGUUGGAUUCCUUUCUGCUGAGACACGAUGGGAACUCACUGGAACCAGUAUCCUUAAGGACACUAACCCUUAAUAGCCUAGAAUAUGACUAUAUUUGAAGACAGAACCUUUAAAGUGGUAAUUAAGGCAAAAUGAAGUCAAAUGGUUGGGCCCUAAUCCACUAUGUCCUUUCUGUGGGGUCCUUCCUUUCCUCUGUAUUAUAUUCAAGUAUUGAAAUCAAAUAAAUUUAUUUUCUUGGUUCA
ensembl:lncRNA